AUACGUAUGGGGCGAGCGUUGUCCGGAAUGAUUGGGCGUAAAGGGUACGUAGGCGGUUAAUUAAGUCGAGUGUGAAAGGUUGGGGCUCAACCCCAUAAAGCAUUCGAAACUGGUUAACUUGAGAUGUGGAGAGGAAAGUGGAAUUCCUAGUGUAGCGGUGACAUGCGUAGAUAUUAGGAGGAAUACCAGUAGCGAAGGCGACUUUCUGGACACAUACUGACGCUGAGGUACGAAAGCGUGGGGAGCAAACAGGAUUAGAUACCCUGGUAGUCCACGCCGUAAACGAUGAGUGCUAGGUGUCGGGGGUCAAACCUCGGUGCCGCAGUUAACACAUUAAGCACUCCGCCUGGGGAGUACGGCCGCAAGGCUGAAACUCAAAGGAAUUGACGGGGG
rnacentral:rRNA from 1 species